CAGCCGCGCGGGAACACGGAGGGAGCUAGCGUUGUUCGGAAUUACUGGGCGUAAAGCGCGCGUAGGCGGUUACUCAAGUCAGAGGUGAAAGCCCGGGGCUCAACCCCGGAACUGCCUUUGAAACUAGGUGACUAGAAUCUUGGAGAGGCCAGUGGAAUUCCGAGUGUAGAGGUGAAAUUCGUAGAUAUUCGGAAGAACACCAGUGGCGAAGGCGACUGACUGGACAAGUAUUGACGCUGAGGUGCGAAAGCGUGGGGAGCAAACAGGAUUAGAUACCCGCGUAGUCCCUGUCUCUUAUACA
rnacentral:rRNA from 1 species